rnacentral:rRNA from 1 species
UUUUAUGGAGAGUUUGAUCCUGGCUCAGGAUGAACGCUGGCGGCGUGCCUAAUACAUGCAAGUCGAGCGAACGGACGAGAAGCUUGCUUCUCUGAUGUUAGCGGCGGACGGGUGAGUAACACGUGGAUAACCUACCUAUAAGACUGGGAUAACUUCGGGAAACCGGAGCUAAUACCGGAUAAUAUUUUGAACCGCAUGGUUCAAAAGUGA